rnacentral:rRNA from 1 species
GGCAGGUACAGCGGGAAGCCACCUGACGACAGGGAGCGGAACCCGAAAGCCUGUCUCAGUUCGGAUUGGAGUCUGCAACCCGACUCCAUGAAGCUGGAUUCGCUAGUAAUCGCGCAUCAGCCACGGCGCGGUGAAUACGUUCCCGGGCCUUGUACACACCGCCCGUCAAGCCAUGGAAGCCGGGGGUGCCUGAAGUGCGCUGCCGCAAGGAGCGCCCUAGGGUAAAACCGGUGACUGGGGCUAAGUCGUAACAAGGUAUC